CAGUAGCCGCGGGAAUACGAGGGGGGCAAGCGUUGUUCGGAAUUAUUGGGCGUAAAGGGCGCGUAGGCGGUUUGGCAAGUUUGGUGUGAAAUCUUCGGGCUCAACUCGAAGUCUGCACCGAAAACUGCCGGGCUUGAGUAUGGGAGAGGUGAGUGGAAUUUCCGGUGUAGCGGUGAAAUGCGUAGAUAUCGGAAGGAACACCUGUGGCGAAAGCGGCUCACUGGACCAUUACUGACGCUGAGGCGCGAAAGCUAGGGGAGCAAACAGGAUUAGAUACCCGAGUAGUCCCUGUCUCUUAUAA
rnacentral:rRNA from 1 species